rnacentral:rRNA from 1 species
CCGGCGACCGGCGGACGGGUGCGUAACGCGUAUGUAACCUACCUUUGACAGGGGGAUAACAUCGAGAAAUUGGUACUAAUACCCCAUAACAUCACCGGAGGCAUCUUCGGUGGUUGAAAACUCAGGUGGUCAGAGAUGGACAUGCGUUGUAUUAGCUAGUUGGUGAGGUAACGGCUCACCGAGGCGACGAUACAUAGGGGGACUGAGAGGUCAACCCCCCACAUUGGUACUGAGACACGGACCAAACUCCUACGGGAGGCAGCAG